rnacentral:rRNA from 1 species
UACGGGGGGGCAAGCGUUGUUCGGAAUUACUGGGCGUAAAGGGCUCGUAGGUGGCCAACUAAGUCAGACGUGAAAUCCCUCGGCUUAACCGGGGAACUGCGUCUGAUACUGGAUGGCUUGAGUUCGGCAGAGGGAGGUGGAAUUCCACGUGUAGCGGUGAAAUGCGUAGAGAUGUGGAGGAACACCGAUGGCGAAGGCAGCCUCCUGGGCCAACACUGACGCUCAUGCACGAAAGCGUGGGGAGCAAACAGG